UACGAAGGGUGCAAGCGUUACUCGGAAUUACUGGGCGUAAAGCGUGCGUAGGUGGUGAGUUAAGUCUGUCGUGAAAGCCCCGGGCUCAACCUGGGAAUGGCGAUGGAUACUGGCUCGCUAGAGUGCGGUAGAGGAGAGUGGAAUUCCCGGUGUAGCAGUGAAAUGCGUAAAGAUCGGGAGGAACAUCAGUUGCGAAGGCGGCUCUCUGGACCAGCACUGACACUGAGGCACGAAAGCGUGGGGAGCAAACAGGGA
rnacentral:rRNA from 1 species